CAAUAGCGUAUAUUAAAGUUGUUGCGGUUAAAAAGCUCGUAGUUGGAUUUCUGCUGAGAACGACCGGUCCGCCCUCUGGGUGUGUAUCUGGCUCUUUCUUGGCAUCUUCUUGGUGAACGUUGCUGCACUUGACUGUGUGGAGCGCUACCCAGGACUUUUACUUUGAGGAAAUUAGAGUGUUUCAAGCAGGCAUACGCCUUGAAUACAUUAGCAUGGAAUAAUAAGAUAGGACCUCGGUUCUAUUUUGUUGGUUUCUAGAGCUGAGGUAAUGAUUAAUAGGGAUAGUUGGGGGCAUUCGUAUUUAACUGUCAGAGGUGAAAUUCUUGGAUUUGUUAAAGACGAACGACUGCGAAAGCAUUUGCCAAGGAUGUUUUCAUUGA
rnacentral:rRNA from 1 species